UUACGGUCAAAUCACGCUGAAAACACCGGUUCUCGUUCGAUCACCGAAGUUAAGGUCAUCGUAGAGCCAGGUCCGAGUACUUAGAUGGGGGACCGCUUGGGAACACCUGGUACUGUAA